AUGCACGAAAGUGUGAUAAGGGAACUCCAAGUGCUUCGUCUUCGGAUGAAGCUUUUGUUAAGUCUAAAGAGCUUAGCGAAUAAGUGGUGGGUAAGACGGGUGCCAGCCGCCGCGGUAACACCUGCGCCACAAGUGGCAAUCACGAUUAUUGGGUCUAAAGCGUCCGUAGCCGGUUUAUUAAGUCUCUUGUGAAAUUGUUGGGCUUAACCUAACAGCGUGCAAGAGAAACUAGUAAGCUAGAGACUGGGAGGAGACAGAGGUAUUCUGAGGGUAGCGGUAAAAUGUUAUAAUCCUCGGAGGACCACCAGUAGCGGAGGCGUCUGUCUAGAACAGGUCUGACGGUGAGGGACGAAGGCUAGGGGAUCAAAACGGAUUAGAUACCCCCGUAGUCC
rnacentral:rRNA from 1 species